CGUGCCUACUGUGAGUCUGUGUGCAUCUGUGUGCGUGCUUUGUGUGUGUGUUUCUUCAUGUUCCUGUCUGCCAGAGGGGUAACAACAUGACUGAGUUAGGAAGAGAAAGUAAGUGCUCCCAAUGACCUCCACCAGGACAGGGAGAAAGAAAACAAGGAUGAGAGAAUGACUUAACAGUCACUGCAAUCUUCAGUGCCAUUCAUAUCUCAGUAAAACUAGUGGUAGUGUCUAUACUGUACUUAUAGGUUGUGAGUGUAAACGUGUACAUGAGCACAUACACAGACAAUGUUGGUAUGGUCUACUGUUUGAUCUUUAAGAAAUUAUGUUUUGAAUAUACAUUGUCAAAACCAAUACAUAUUAAACAAAAGAAUGGAAUCAUAUCAUAUGUUACAUGCCCGAAGAUCAUUAGUUGAGUAGAUUCCAAAAUGUUCUGGAGGAAAUAAAUUUGUAUCAGCUGUGUGAUUUGGGAGAAGUGGAUGAUGAGCUCAAUUUUCCUCAAAGCCCUGAAAAAUAACCUUCUGCCUGACAUUUUUCUUGUGAAAAUGCAGAGUUGCUAUUUUGCUAACUUCUUUUUGUUUACUAACUAGUAUGCGGAUUAUCCAGACCUGAUACAUUGAUAGCGCACAUCUGAGUUCGACACCAAGGAACAGUGUGUUAUGUGCUGUUAUUCCGACCAGUCAGUACAACUUACUUACAGCAUUCAUGUCUGAUCAUUAUUUGUAUUCCCUGUUGAGUUUCCAAAUCAGUUUAAUACUGUGUGGCAGCUGAAUGGUAAAGCUCUGUUAAAAUUCUAAAAUUGUGUGACUUUAAUGAAAACCACUGCAGACGCGUGCGUGUGUGUGGGUGUCUUUAUGAUGCAUUAGCUGUGUUGAGAAAGUUUGUAAGUUGAUAGCCCCUGGAAGGAAGGGGGAAAAAAUGCAUUCAAAAAUGCAAGCGCCACUUGCAUUAAUUAGGAAAUGGUUGUCAAUAAUGUAAGUAGUAAGCACAAAGGAUUUACUGGGCUGCUUGUGCAAAAUGCUGGCAUCAUCCUUUGAGUUUGUGUUUACUCAGCAUUCUGAAUCUGGCUUAUGUGACUUUGUGGUGUUUUGUAAGCCUAUGGGGGCUGGACAUGAUACAAUAAUAAAAACCACAAUCCAUUUAUUUAUCCACUAUUAUUUGGUCAAAUAUCCAUCACGUCAGCUGCUAAAUACAGCAUCAUUGCCCAUACUGUCCAGAUCAUGAGUAAACUAUACGUAUUUUCCAAAUGCUGAUUGCUCCUUUUUUGA